rnacentral:misc_RNA from 1 species
GGAAGGAUCAUUAACACAUUGUCCAUUUGAUGAUAGUGACUUUUGGAGGAAUAGUUUUGAGUGUUUACUACGCUCACUUUUUCUUCUUCUAAGUCCUAUCAUUCAAACCUAAUAGCGAAUGAGUUGAAGUCCUCAUUAUUAAUUAACUUUAAUAAUUAUUUAGUGGAAUAAGACUAAAUGUAAUCACGUUUAAUGGAUUCGAGAGAAUUCAUUCGACUAAAUGUCUAACAAAAAAACAAACAAUAACUAUAACCAAGACAACUUGUAACAGUGGAUACCUUGGUUCCCAGGUCGAUGAAGAGCGCAGCGAACUGCGAUAAGUCAUGUGAAUUGCAGAAUUCCGUGAAUCAUCGAACUCUUGAACGCAAAUUGCACUUGGGUGUUGAAUCCAAGUGUGCCUGCUCGAGUGUCGGCAAUAAAUCCUCACUUAGAACUUUAUUGAUUUAAGUUGAAAAUGAGAGUUCAAAUCCUUUUUUUUUGAUCUCUUUAAAUUGAUGGAAAUAUGAUUCGUGAAAUAUGGGAACAAUUUGUUUCUAAUAUGAAAAAGUACGAACCACAUCGAUUAGUAAAUUAAGAUCUUUAUUGAUCAUUACUUUAUUAAUUCUAUCGUAUUUUGCCUCAUUUAGAAUGACAAUGUUCAUUUAAAACACAUGUUGGAAUCAUAAUUGACGUGUCCAUAGAAUACCUUACGCUAUUCGAAAGACAAUUCUUUAAACUCUCGACCUCGAAUUAGGCAAGAUCACCCGGUGGACUUAAGCAUAUUAUUAACCGGAGGAAAAGAAACUAACAAGGAUGUCCUUAGUAACGGCGAGUGAAGCGGACAGAGCUCAAAUUUAAAAUCUGAGAGUCUCAUGAUUCUCCGAAUUGUAGUUUUUGGAUUGUUAGUCACGGUGGCAUUGAUUCGGGAGUAAGUUCUUUGGAACAAGGCGUCAGAGAGGGUGAGAACCCCGUAUGCGUCCCAGUCAGUGUUACAAUAGGUGUCUAACUUUUCACGAGUCGGGUUGUUUGGGAUUGCAGCCCUAAAUAGGUGGUAGAUCUCAUCUAAAGCUAAAUAUUCCUGGGAGACCGAUAGCGAAGAAGUAGUGUGAACGAAAGGUGAAAAGAACUUUGAAAAGAAGGUGAAAAGUACUUGAAGCUGUUCCAAGGGAACCGUAUGAAAGCAGUGACUGCUUGGCGACAAUUCAGCGAGCGUGCGUGAUUGCGUGUUUGGACACACGAAGGUGUUAUGCCUCGGAGUGCUGAGCGUGAGUCAUCAGGCGCGUGUACUUUGUCGCUUGAGCGAGUCAACAUCAGUUUGGUUGGCGACGGAGAAAGGCGAGGAGAAGGUAGGUUGGCACUUCGGUGUUGGCUGUUUAUAGCUCCUUGUUGCAUACGUCGCUCUGAACUGAGGAAGCAAAACGCAUGCCUCGGCGAGGUAAUUGGCGGACCCAUGACGGCGUGCGUGUACGUCUGCUUGCAGGGUGCAUUCAUGGCUGGCGUGGCGAAAGCUGAUCCAUCGGUGCGUUAGGGAUGUUGACGAAAUGCUUUCAUAUGACCCGUCUUGAAACACGGACCAAGGAGUCUAACAUGUAUGCGAGUAUUUGGGUGGCAAACCCGAGUGCACAAUGAAAGUGAAAGAUGCGAGUCUGGUAAAAAGGAUGCAGCAUCGGCCGACUGCACUUAGGUGCGGAUUGCGUCGGAGCACACAUGAUGGGACCCGAAAGAUGGUGAACUUUGCGUGCGCAGGGUGAAGCCAGAGGAAACUCUGGUGGAGGCUCGUAGAGGUUCUGACGUGCAAAUCGAUCUUCAGACGUGCGUAAAGGGGCGAAAGACUAAUCGAACCAUCUAGUAGCUGGUUUACAC